UGCGUUAGAAGCUCGUAGUUGGAUCAGAUCGACUUGCAGUGGCCCACUAGCUGGAUGGCUCCGGUCACGAAGCGGAGGCGGAUCAACCCCUUGCGCCAAACUGUCCGCUCUAACAGGCCGGAACGGUUCCCUGUGAGUAGGUCCCUUCAUUGGGAUCGAAAGCGCCUACGCAUCAACCAUAUGCAUACGGGACGUCGGCCACUGUUACUGUGAACAAACCAGCGUGUCCAAAGCAGGCUUUCGCCUGAAUGUUCGAGCAUGGAAUAACAAGGGAUCGAUCCUCUCGAUUCUUUUUGUUGGUUUUUAACCCGAGAAGGAGUAUUUCAGGCCACGGUGUCUGAGUUAGGUUCCCCUAGCCUCUGGGUUAGGCCUCAAUUAGGCCGUGUCCUUACGGGAUCAAUAGGGACUGACGGGGCCGUACGUAUUUCCGCGUCAGAGGUGAAAUUCUUAGAUCGCGGGAA
rnacentral:rRNA from 1 species